AAAAUUCUCAUAACAUCUCAGCUAGUCUCUUGGGCGUUUAUUCCCUAGAGAUUCUUUUGUAUAUCCCCGAGAAAUUUUCUUCUAGCAAAGAGUAGAUGGAUGCAAUAUCUUUCAACCAAGAGUAGUUGGAUGUAUAAUUUCAGCCAAGAGCAACUGUAUAUAUUUUUUGCAUAUAUCUGUCUUCAGCCAAGAGCAGCUGAAUAUGAU
rnacentral:lncRNA from 1 species